rnacentral:misc_RNA from 1 species
UUUUUAUUUUUUUUUGUGGUUAACACUUGCGCCCAACCAAGAGAUAACCUCAUGACAAAGGAAAGAAUACCAUGGCAAGGACUUCUUAAAGUAAUUUACUGCUUAGCAUCUUCUGUUCAUGUCAUUACAAUCUUUAUCUUGCAUACACAUGGCUUCCUCCUUGAAUUCAGGCUUACGGUGCACUUAUGAUGUAUUCUUGAGCUUCAGAGGGAAAGACGCAAGGAAACCCUUCACUGGACAUCUCUACAAAGCUUUGUGUCGGCAUGUAAUCAAAACUUUUCUGGACGAGGAAAAGAUAGAAUUUGGUGAGGAACUUGAACUGGCUUCCAUAAAAGGAAUCCAAGAGUCCAGAUUUUCCAUAAUCAUUCUCUCAAACAACUUUGCCUCGUCCACUUACUGUCUGAAGAGCUUGUCCAAAUCAUACAAUGUAAAAAACUAGGGGAUAUUUUUGUCAUGUAUUAUGGUGUAGAUCCAUCUCAUGUUGAAGAGAUGAAAGAAAGGCUUGAAAUGCUUUUCAAGAAGGAUGUCACCAAGUGGAGGGAUGCUCCUCAAAAAGUUCUUGACUUGCAGGCCCUUGAUCUGCAAAAACAUUUACAAGGGUAAAGUUGCCAAUCAUUAACAUCUCUGAUCUAGCUUGCCAUGGUUCUGUUUAUUUACUUUUUUUAUUAGUUUUUUUUUUUCUAAAUUAUUGUGUGUUUUUGUGGUGUUUUCUUUUUCCAUAAUAGCUUAGGGACAAAUAAUUAUAAAGGUUGAGAAUUGUUAAAGCCUGAGAUUUUUCCACUAAGCUGCAGCAGAGCCAUGUUUUAAGUAUUUUGUUUUCUUUAUCAUGUUAUGGUUUCAAUGUUAGCAUUUCCUAAGGGAACAUUUUGCCUUGUAGUUAGCGAGGAAUCUGUGCCGUUUGAGGAAAUAUUCUAGUUAAGCCCAUAACUAGUAGGUUAAAGAAUGCUUUUUAGUUUCUGUAAGUUAGCUAAGCUUUUGUAUAAAUUCUGCUUUCAAAUAUCAAUGACAGUAUGAGAAAGUUUUCUUUUCUAAGCUUCAUUUUUCAUCUUUAUUGAAAUGCUAGCUUAGUUUUUUCCUACAAAAAUAUCAGCAGCUUCUGUUUGUUUGUUGAUUUUUAAUCUUUAUUAGGAAUUGCAAUCAGUAUUUCUGUAAAAAUUUUAACUUGCUGGGAUUAGGCAAAAACAUUGCUUAUAUUUUCAAGAAGAUUUCAGAUAGACUUUCAAAUGCUCGUUCUGAAAAAGUCAAGGAUACUGCAGAUUUGUUCAGGAAUAUUACGUCUUUCUUGUCAAAAAUUAAAGGAGAAUUGAAGUCGUCAACAGCCGAAAGUAAUCGAAGUGGGCCCGUCUUUUGGAAACAAAUUGGUGAAAGCAAAAAGUGUGUUUGGUAAGAAGUAUGGAAAGCAAAGAGAAACUGUCUGGGCUAGGUACAAAAUAGAAAGAAAAUAUAUGGUAAACAAGCAUUAUUGGAUUUAAGUAUUUUUCCAUUUUAUUUUAUUCUUGAGUUCUUGUACUUUUCCUAUUCUAUUAAAAAUUUAUUUAACACCAAAUAUAAAAUUGAAUGAAAU